rnacentral:lncRNA from 1 species
GCAGUUGUGUGGACGUGUGUUAGGCUUUCUUGAGUUUUAGCCAGAGAGCCAGGCUACUAGCAGCUGUGCUAGACUUUUAAGAUGUGGAAAACUUGGUAAAUAUGCUAAAGUAAGAGACAGGAACCAGGCCAGAAAAUGGGAUGUCCGAAGAGAGUGGGAGGCCAUGAGGGGAAGUGUGCGCCGCAGACACCGGAAGCUGGGAGUUACGGUGAGCAACAAACCAUGGUAGUCUAGUUGUAGCAGUAGUUGGACACCAAUGGAACCACAGAUAUUUUCAUGUGAUAUUGCCGUUGGCGCAGACAUGCUGGACUCAUUACACUUACCACCAUUCGGAAACUAUGGAUCCCAAGAAAACUUGGCAAGAAACGUUGACUCUGGAUCCAGCCUCCCAGCCU